rnacentral:tRNA from 1 species
ACUAUUUUGGCAGAUUAGUGCAAUGGAUUUAGAAUCUUUUAAUAUAGAUAUUUAUUUUCUAUAAGUAGUA